GUAGUUGCUUAGGCAGUACAUACUCUAAAAUUGGAAUGAUACAGAGAAGAGGAACAUGGCCCCCAUGCAAGGAUCACACAGAAAUUCAUGCAGAGUUCCACCGUUUA
rnacentral:snRNA from 1 species